rnacentral:misc_RNA from 1 species
CCAAACUUGGUCAUUUAGAGGAAGUAAAAGUCGUAACAAGGUUUCCGUAGGUGAACCUGCGGAAGGAUCAUUACAGAGAACUUGCCCCCGGGCAGAUCUCCAACCCGUUGUCUAUCAUGCCCUGUUGCUUUGGCAGGCCCGCCCUCGAGGCCGCCGGCUCCGGCUGGCCAGCGCCUGCCAGAGGAUCACAACUCACAAGUUAGUGUUGUCUGAGUACCAUUCAAUAGUUAAAAACUUUCAACAACGGAUCUCUUGGUUCUGGCAUCGAUGAAGAACGCAGC